rnacentral:rRNA from 1 species
AUUGAACGCUGGCGGCAGGCCUAACACAUGCAAGUCGAGCGAGCGGCGGACGGGUGAGUAAUGUAUGGGGACUGCCCCAUAGAGGGGGGAAACUACUGGAAACGGUAGCUAAUACAGCAUACUAUCGGAGAACCCAGAUGUGAUUAGCUCGUAGGUGAGGUACUGGCUCACCUAGGCGACGAUCCCUAGCUGGUCUGAGAGGAUGAGCAGCCACACUGGAACUGAGACACGGCCCAGACUCCUACGGAAGCAGCAUUGGAGAAUAUUGCACAAUGGGAGCAAGCCUGAUGCAGCCAUGCCGCGUGUAUGAAGAAGGCCCUAGGGUUGUAAAGUACUUUCAGUCGGGAGGCGUUACCGACAGAAGAAGCACCGGCUAACUCCGUGCCAGCAGCCGCGGUAAUAC